UUGGUGUGCUGCCUCCCCGCCUCCACUUUGUGAUGAUAAUGCUGCUAAAGCUGUUCCUUGCCUAUUGGCCGAAUACCCCAAGCUUGUACUUUACCCAAUAAAACCUCAUGUGCACGUCUUGGAGUUGCUCAGAGCUUCGGAGCAGAAGCCCCUCUGAGCCCGCUGGCAUAAUACAUCUGAGUACUCCAACCCUCCGAGUGGUGCUUGUUUCUUGGCUGGCCUGUCAUUUCUGUAACAUUUCUGGAGGCCCCAGCGAGAUACAAUCACGCCGGCCCCUUGUGCCGCUGGACUGGUGGCUCCGGCCGACCGGGAGUCGGGAUUCCGGCAGCGAAAGAGGUGGCGCCGCCCGACGGUAUUCUGGGUUCUCUUUCGUGACGGCAACUCGGACCCCGGGUGGCUGGGCUACAACCAGAGCCAGAUUCCGUGGAGGGAUGGACAGACUCACCAGGUGGCCAUCCGGACAAGGCCGAAAGCAGCGGCCUGAAGUGCAGCCGGGACCGGGUACCCCGCGCAGCCACCCAGGCAGCUGGGGGUCCAGCCUGGACAUUUGGACUUCGGAUCCCAUUAGCUCGCCACCAGGCAGAUGCCCAGCUUGAGGGUUUAACUGCAAACCAGGAAUUCACCGAAGGCGUGAUUUCCCACUCUGUGAGUUCCUAAGGGACAUGAACACUGGUUCUGCAGCUGCUGCCCCGGCUAUGGCUUCUGCCCAACUUCUGUCUCCUCAUCACACAGUCACAAUGCUGAAAACACCAGCGUGGUGACCAGACGAUGUCACGUCCCCGGUGGGGCUGUGGGCACCGUCCAGCCUGGUGCAGGCAACGCAGAGACUGGACAGCUGUUGAGAAUUUUACAGUAAUAUGAAAUAAACUAAAUUUAUUUUGUUUUCUGCUGUCACUGCAUACUGUCAGUGACAACUUACCCUCAUGCGGGUCCACCACGUACACCAACCCCACUGGGGAUCACUAGUGCCUGGAGUCUACACUCGCCCCUGUUAACUGCGGUCCGUGAUUCUCCAACUAUCUGGGGGGAAAACAGAGAUGUCAGGGGAGGAAGUAACCAUGUGCUUCACUUCAGGCAAGGCCGCCUUAUGUCUGGUGUUCAGAUGUGAUUACUCAGUGCUUCCUGCCUGAAAAGAACUCAGUUUAUUUAGUUAGUCUGUUUCUUUCUUGGGAGGAAGAGGUAAUUAUGUUUGUUCAUUUGUUUACUUAAUGGAGGCUCUGGGGAUUGAACCCAGGACCUCGUGCAUGCUAAGCACACGCUCUCCCACUGAGCUACACCCUCCUCCAAAACUCAGUUUGUUAAUCUUCUGUUUAUAUUGAAAUAUCCCAAUGCACGCACAACCAAAUGGCUCACUACUUUCUUUGCACCUUAACAGGGUAUGGACAUUUUCACAGAUGAUUUUUUAUAUCAUAUUUGAAAAGGGACAAAGAAUAGUUUUUGUUUUAUUUUUUGCCUUGGUGACACAGGUCUAUAUAGAGACUUCCUUGCUAUGGAAGACUUGUUUCAAAUAGGAGUGUGGAAGUGUGGGGGGUGUCUGUAAAUUUG